AGCGAACGCUGGCGGCAGGCCUAACACAUGCAAGUCGAACGGAUCCUUCGGGAUUAGUGGCGGACGGGUGAGUAACACGUGGGAACGUGCCCUUUGGUUCGGAACAACUCAGGGAAACUUGAGCUAAUACCGGAUGUGCCCUUCGGGGGAAAGGUUUAUCGCCAUUGGAGCGGCCCGCGUCUGAUUAGCUAGUUGGUGAGGUAACGGCCCACCAAGGCGACGAUCAGUAGCUGGUCUGAGAGGAUGAUCAGCCACACUGGGACUGAGACACGGCCCAGACUCCUACGGGAGGCAGCAGUGGGGAAUCUUGCGCAAUGGGCGAAAGCCUGACGCAGCCAUGCCGCGUGAAUGAUGAAGGUCUUAGGAUUGUAAAAUUCUUUCAGCGGGGACGAUAAUGACGGUACCCGCAGAAGAAGCUCCGGCUAACUUCGUG
rnacentral:rRNA from 1 species